UACGAAGGGGGCUAGCGUUGUUCGGAAUUACUGGGCGUAAAGCGCACGUAGGCGGUUCGUUAUGUCGGAUGUGAAAGCCCUUGGCUUAACCGAGGAAGUGCAUCCGAAACUGGCGAGCUAGAGUACUAAAGAGGAUCGCGGAAUUCCCGGUGUAGAGGUGAAAUUCGUAGAUAUCGGGAGGAACACCGGUGGCGAAGGCGGCGAUCUGGGUAGAUACUGACGCUGAGGUGCGAAAGCGUGGGGAGCAAACAGG
rnacentral:rRNA from 1 species